GCCGGGAUGGCGGAAUUGGCAGACGCAGGGGACUCAAAAUCCCCCGGGCGCAGGCCCUUGAGGGUUCGAGUCCCUCUCCCGGCA
rnacentral:tRNA from 1 species